rnacentral:rRNA from 1 species
UGGGGAAUCUUGGACAAUGGGCGCAAGCCUGAUCCAGCCAUGCCGCGUGAGUGAAGAAGGCCUUCGGGUUGUAAAGCUCUUUUACCAGGGACGAUAAUGACGGUACCUGGAGAAUAAGCCCCGGCAAACUUCGUGCCAGCAGCCGCGGUAAUACGAAGGGGGCUAGCGUUGUUCGGAAUUACUGGGCGUAAAGCGCACGUAGGCGGAUUGUUAAGUCAGAGGUGAAAUCCCGGAGCUCAACUUCGGAACUGCCUUUGAUACUGGCAAUCUAGAGUCCGGAAGAGGUUAGUGGAAUUCCCAGUGUAGAGGUGAAAUUCGUAGAUAUUAGGAAGAACACCGGUGGCGAAGGCGGCUCACUGGAUCGGUACUGACGCUGAGGUGCGAAAGCGUGGGGAGCAAACAGGAUUAGAUACCCCCGUAGUCCCUGAGCGGGCUGGCAAGGCGCAU